rnacentral:rRNA from 1 species
CCUACGGGAGGCUGCAGUGAGGAAUAUUGGUCAAUGGGCGGGAGCCUGAACCAGCCAAGCCGCGUGAAGGAAGAAGGCGCCAGGCGUCGUAAACUUCUUUUGUCGGGGAACAAAGGGCGCCACGCGUGGCGUUGUGAGUGUACCCGAAGAAACAGCAUCGGCUAACUCCGUGCCAGCAGCCGCGGUAAUACGGAGGAUGCGAGCGUUAUCCGGAUUUAUGGGGUUAAAGGGGUCGGUAGGCGGUCCGGAAAGUCUGCGGUAAAAGCCCGGGGCUAAACUCCGGCGAGCCGUUGAAACUGUCGGACUAGAGAAGGCGAGAAGUACGCGGAAUGCGCGGUGUAGCGGUGAAAUGCAUAGAGAUCGCGCAGAACUCCGAUUGCGAAGGCAGCGUACCGGCGCCGGACUGACGCUGAGGCACGAAAGCGUGGGUAUCGAACAGGAUUAGAUACCCUUGUAGUC